UAGUAUUUAAAAUUUUAGUUGUCCACAUAAACUUGAGACCCAACCUGAACUCCUGGAAUUAUGGUGUAUGUCUCGGGGUUUUGGUCUACUGGAACUGUAACAUAUUAUGUAUUACCUAUACAAUGUUAGAGAUGUUCAAAAUAAUUUAAACUAAUUCACCUUCAUUUUCCCUGUCGGACAAGAUCUCAUCAUCAGAACCACUACUUACUGAUGCUGCGUCACCAUCAAUGUUUGGAUAAAUAACUAAAAAAAAAUGAAAUUCGUUAAAUUAAUUUAUAACACUAAUAUGUUGUAUAUAUAAUGCAGUGUAAAGUACCUGGUAAACAAUAAUCAUGGUCUUGUAAAUGUGAAGGUCUGUCAACUUGUUCAACAUUCAUUUUUAUAACUAUUAACUUAAGCACUUAGGUACACGUUUUAAAUUAUUUUCUUUUUAAUAAACACUUGUUGAAUGUAAAGCAAAUUAUAAAAUAGAAAAAGAAAUAACCCAAAAACGAUAUUCUCUGAUUGUACAAAUUGUUGAAAUAAAAACAAAAUAUAAACUAAAAAUAGAACCAAGUCUGUAUUAUGAUCAUAUAGAUUUUCACUAUCACCUAUUAUCAAUAUUCUUUUAAACACAAAAAUACAGCAUUUCAUUAAAC